AGGAUUAUAUUUAAUUAUAAUAUUUGAUUUGCAGUCAAAAGGUGUUGAAAAAACUAAUCUUA
rnacentral:tRNA from 1 species